UUGCUCUGCACAAUCACCAAUAUUCGGUACAGUCAGUAUUUUCAAUUUUAGCCAUUCUGCUGGUGUGCAGUGGUAACUCAUCACGUCUGUACUUGGAAGAGAGUAGGGCCAACAAAGCAGACCUCUUGAAAAGGGCCACAUAAGGUUGCAUAUUCUUCUUUGCCUUUUAAACCAACCCUUUAAAAAUAUAAAAGCCAUUCCUAGCUCAUGAGCCUUACAAAAACAGGCACGGGCAGGAUUUGGGCCGUAGAACUUAGUUCGAGCCCUUGUGAGGACUUUGACUUUUACGUGGAGGGAAAGUAGCAUUUGACUCACGUUUUAAAAGAAGCACCUUGGUUGUAGGGGGACAGGGGAGACACACCCACCCGAAGGUCACUGCAGUAAUCCAGAGCAGAGAUAACAGCCCAGAUCAGGUUGCUAACUAGGAAAAUGGGGAGAAAUGGUUAGAUCCUGGCUUUCUCCCUCCAUGCCUCGUCCUUGGGCCCCGCCCCGAGAUAAGAGGAUGGAUUUGCUCAUAAUUGGACUUGGGACCCUGAAAAGGGUCACGGAUGACUUAAGACUUUGGCCUGAACAACUAGAAGGAUGGAGUUACAUUAACCAUUAUGGGGACGGCGACAAGAAGGUGUAUAAAGGACGUGUUUCGCUCCAAAACAAAACAGAAUUCAUAUUCCUUAGAUCCCGCUACAACUUUAUGCUAUUUUAUUUAUUCUCCCAGAACUUCAGUCAUUUUUUUGUCAAGCUACAAAAAAAUCCUGUAUGAUUUGAAUAAAAUUGCUUUAAGCAUAACAAUUAAUUUGAGAAGAAAUGGCAUCUUAAUGAUAUUCCAUUUGCUAACAUGUACUGGGUAUUCUAUUAUGCCUCUGAAUGAAGUUUUAUAAUUUUUUCACAUACAAUAGGUUCUUGCAUACUUCCUAAUGAAAGUCUUCUCAGACAUCUAAUCUUUUUUGUUACUAUUGUAAGUGAAAUACUUUUUUAAAACUUACAAUUUCUAGAUGGUUUUGGUUGGUAUUUAUAAAAGCUAUGAAUUUCCUAUUUAGCUGCCCCAGAGAACCCCUGUUUUUGCGUUGGUUCCCUUGUGUUUUGUAAAGAUAUAUGAAUGUCCCAACACGGUCACCUUCUCUCUUUAUCUGCAAUAGCUUUUCAUUUCUAAACCACUUCUUUAUACACUGGGUAGAGUUUCAAGAGCAAUGCCAAGAAACAAGUGCAAACACUCUGGUUUUAAUGGAACUACCUUCGGCUUUUCAGUCUUAUUAGUAUGAUGUCAAAGUGGUUUUUUAAUGGUUUUUAAUUUACUGAUUAGAUUUUUAUCUUUCCACUGUUUUCAGGUCUCAGUUCCCUCUCAUUACCAUGUGAAUUGGUUACUACUUCCAGGGUUGCGGGCCAGGUCCCCAGCUGGGGCCUGUGACGUUUCUGUUCCUCUUUCUCCCUGCCUUCCCCUCUCUC